rnacentral:misc_RNA from 1 species
GACGAAGAACGUAGCGAAAUGCGAUAAGUAAUGUGAAUUGCAGAAUUCAGUGAAUCAUCGAAUCUUUGAACGCACCUUGCACCCUUUGGCAUUCCGAAGGGUAUGCUCGUUUGAGUGUCAUUGUACUCUCACACUUCCGAUCUUUGGAUUGGGAGCGGUGGACUUGGGUGUUGCUGCUUACUGUGGCUCACCUCAAAUCGAUUCGUGCACCUCUUGGUUGGACAUAGUACGGCGUGAUAAGUGUCUUCGCCGGCACCUCAGUAGAGGGUGGCUGAUCGGGAGCUCUGUGCUUCAAACCGUCCUCGGACAACAACUGACAACUUGACCUCAAAUCGAGUAGGACUACCCGCUGAACUUAAGCAUAUCAAUAAGCGGAGGA